rnacentral:lncRNA from 1 species
UGUGUCUUCAUGACUGUCAAUGACUCUACGAUGGUGUCACUAGGAGUCUGGCCCAUGUCCAUGGGAAGCCCUCCUGACGGCAAGUAGCACCUAAGUGGGUAGAGGGCCAGGCUGGGUGGGCAUCCUCCUUUCCUUCUGAAGAGCUAUGAGCAUCACUGAGGACCAGAAGCAGAGCUUGAGCCAUACCACCUCCAGCAAGCCCUCUUAGCUAUGCAAGGAGAGAAUCUCUCCGGACCCUUGGAUUUCAGCUGCUUCUGGCAUCCAUAGGAGCACCUGACAGCUGGACGGUUUGGAACGUUGGGAUCCUUGAAGGACCCCGUGGCCUAGCAGAUGAGCACCCUGCCUGCGGCUGCAGGGCAAUGUCACAGAGAACCCCUAGGGGGCAGCACUCAGGCACAGGUCUCAGUGAGAUUCUCAGCGGCAGGGCUGUGCAGGCAUCCAGGGGACACCAUCUCCUGUUUCUCACAUAAAGAUUACUGCACAUGGAAAGAUAAGGAACAUUUUCCUAACAGUAAGAAGGUUUUGAAUCCAAGAAAGCAACAAACCAGAGCAGACUCAUUUGAAACAUGAACAGAGUGAUGUGGCCAAAGGAAUCCAAGCCAGGUUUCACCAGGUUCCUAUUGUGAACACACUGGAUGUUUAUAUGAGAAUCCCAGUGUGUAGCAAUUAUAACUAGAUAAUAAUUAUGCUUAAGAUUUGGUCCUCUUUCCAUAUAUGGAUUCAGUCCUUCUCUGUCAUUUUGUCAUUUUCAUGGAAUCUGGAGUUAUGGAACCAUCCAAUGUUUAUUACAGAGAAUGACCAUCCAUAAGCCUCUGCAUGCUUAUGGAAGCAACAGUUCUGGGGCCGCUGGCUGAAUAUUCCUUCCAGGUGUUUAUUUCUGAGUCUACAUCAUGCCCCUCACUCAUCAAUUUAACUCUAUCCAGAGAAUUCUCUAUGGUCUUCAUCAGAUUAGGAAGUAAAUCAUCAGUCACUUCAAAUAUUUCAAGCUUGGUUUUCUCUGACAUAAGUCAGUUCUCCUGACUACAAUUCCUGGAAAAUAUUGUAGAACCCAGCAGCACUGCAGUAUUUCAACCUUCAUUUGAGUUGCCUGUGACCCAGAUGUGAGCUAGUGCUUCCACGGUUUCAGAUGUCUGGGUGAAUCCACCAGUUCUACACCUGUGAACAUCCCUGCCCUUGAUUCUUUCUAAUUGUCAGGAAACUUGCACUCAUAAUCCCUCCUGCCUCUGG